rnacentral:misc_RNA from 1 species
ACCUCUCGUGGAUCUAUCGCUUCCUCUGCUUCUCUCUCAGGUUUCUAUUCUUCAGUCAGUCUUCUCCCCCUCUCUGCGCAAAACCCUCUCUCUGCUUGUGCGUUUGAAAAUCUGAAAGUAUUGGUUAAAUACAAAACCCCAAGAUUUAUCAUAAACCCUAAUUCUAGUGGGUUUAUAAAACACAUACUCUUGGAUCUGUGACCCCAUCAUCGUCAAUCAUCAUCAUCAUCUAGCCUGCUAUUUUGAAUUUUUGAUCUUCUUAGCUGCGCGCUUUUGUGGCGG